CAGGGCCUGCAGCCUCACCAGCUCCCUGAGGAUCACGCAGUUCUCCUGGAACCCAGAGACGGAAGGCGCUGGGGACCGAGGGCCACGCCCUCCCCGCGGGCCCCAGGCCAGGUCCUUUUGGAACCAGAAACGGCAUGAACGUGAUGGGCUCUAAGGCCAAGGGCAGGAAGAAAUGUGGCCAGUCUUUCCAGGAGCCACCAAGGGGCCUCCGCGGGCUCAACAAGACAAACACGGCUGCGUGCAGACAGUGGCUCAACCCCACGGCGCCCGAACACCCAGCCCCUGGACAGUGAGACAGCUGUUGCUGCAGGUGGCCCGUGGCUCACUGAUGAGGCCCGGCCCCAGGCGUACGCCACCUUCUCUGGGGCCACCUCUCCGGUCUGCAGUGGGGUUCUCCUGGGAGCCCCCAGUCACCAUAGGACCAGCGUGGCCUGUCUGUAGCCCAAGAAGGUGGGGACACAAGACUGUCCCCCGUGCCCCCCGCAUCACCCGCGAGGCCGAGCGAGCACCAGUGGUGUCUGCGGGGAAGAUGAAGGGGUCACGCACAGCCCCCAUCUACAGAAGCACAGACUG